AAAAAAAAAAAAAAAAAGACUUUUUUCAAUGAUGUUUGGUUGGGAAUAAAUAGACUAGGGAAAUGUAAGUGUAACUUCUGGAGAGAUAUAAAGUGCUUAUAUUUAGUUUACAUUAUUAAUUCUACUUUUCGAUGAACUAAAAACUCUAUAAAACUCCAUUGAAAGUUGAAACACUCUUGGUAUGUUUUACUUCUACUGUUUUUAGUUUUUUCUUUUGCUGUUCUAAUAUUCUUAUGUGUUUGCUUUUUCCUCAUUUCAGACCCAUCCAUUCUUUUUUGAUCUAGUCCAUCCCCAAUUUCCUUACAAGCAUCAGUUACAAGUGGGUAGUUGGCUAUUUGUGGUUUUAUCAUCUCUUUCUUUGUUAUUCGAGAUUUCUGGUGGGCAUUUUCACUCUAUGUACUGCUCUUCUAAUUCUUUCUCACUGUUGUUUAAGUUGUUCUGACAACCAUUCUCUGCACCUAAGAAUCCUUCUCUACGCAUCAAUAAACCCAUGAGUGGUAUUGGAGCUCUCCAUAGGAAGACCCGCAAGAUUGCAAUUUUCAACCUAUUUGUAACUUAAUUUAACUCCAAUUCCUUUUAUGAUGUACAUGGAAAAUCAACAGUAAACAACAAUAUAAUAAUAGCAUAAUAUGCAAUAUGAUUUUGAGAUCA